UAGAGUUUGAUCAUGGCUCAGAUUGAACGCUGGCGGCAGGCCUAACACAUGCAAGUCGAGCGGUUGARRRRAGCUUGCUUYCUGAUUCAGCGGCGGACGGGUGAGUAAUGCCUAGGAAUCUGCCUGGUAGUGGGGGACAACGUUUCGAAAGGRACGCUAAUACCGCAUACGUCCUACGGGAGAAAGCAGGGGACCUUCGGGCCUUGCGCUAUCAGAUGAGCCUAGGUCGGAUUAGCUAGUUGGUGAGGUAAUGGCUCACCAAGGCGACGAUCCGUAACUGGUCUGAGAGGAUGAUCAGUCACACUGGAACUGAGACACGGUCCAGACUCCUACGGGAGGCAGCAGUGGGGAAUAUUGGACAAUGGGCGAAAGCCUGAUCCAGCCAUGCCGCGUGUGUGAAGAAGGUCUUCGGAUUGUAAAGCACUUUAAGUUGGGAGGAAGGGCAGUAAGYCUAAUACCUUGCUGUUUUGACGUUACCGACAGAAUAAGCACCGGCUAACUCUGUGCCAGCAGCCGCGGU
rnacentral:rRNA from 1 species